GACGAACGCUGGCGGCGCGCCUAACACAUGCAAGUCGAACGAGCGAGAGAGAGCUUGCUUUCUCGAGCGAGUGGCGAACGGGUGAGUAACGCGUGAGGAACCUGCCUCAAAGAGGGGGACAACAGUUGGAAACGACUGCUAAUACCGCAUAAGCCCACGGUGCCGCAUGGCACAGAGGGAAAAGGAGCAAUCCGCUUUGAGAUGGCCUCGCGUCCGAUUAGCUAGUUGGUGAGGUAACGGCCCACCAAGGCGACGAUCGGUAGCCGGACUGAGAGGUUGAACGGCCACAUUGGGACUGAGACACGGCCCAGACUCCUACGGGAGGCAGCAGUGGGGAAUAUUGCACAAUGGGGGAAACCCUGAUGCAGCGACGCCGCGUGGAGGAAGAAGGUCUUCGGAUUGUAAACUCCUGUUGUUGGGGAAGAUAAUGACGGUACCCAACAAGGAAGUGACGGCUAACUACGUGCCAGCAGCCGCGGUAAAACGUAGGUCACAAGCGUUGUCCGGAAUUACUGGGUGUAAAGGGAGCGCAGGCGGGAAGACAAGUUGGAAGUGAAAUCUAUGGGCUCAACCCAUAAACUGCUUUCAAAACUGUUUUUCUUGAGUAGUGCAGAGGUAGGCGGAAUUCCCGGUGUAGCGGUGGAAUGCGUAGAUAUCGGGAGGAACACCAGUGGCGAAGGCGGCCUACUGGGCACUAACUGACGCUGAGGCUCGAAAGUGUGGGUAGCAAACAGGAUUAGAUACCCUGGUAGUCCACACCGUAAACGAUGAUUACUAGGUGUUGGAGGAUUGACCCCUUCAGUGCCGCAGUUAACACAAUAAGUAAUCCACCUGGGGAGUACGACCGCAAGGUUGAAACUCAAAGGAAUUGACGGGGGCCCGCACAAGCAGUGGAGUAUGUGGUUUAAUUCGACGCAACGCGAAGAACCUUACCAAGCCUUGACAUCCCUUGACAGGCAUAGAAAUAUGUUUUCUCUUCGGAGCAAGGAGACAGGUGGUGCAUGGUUGUCGUCAGCUCGUGUCGUGAGAUGUUGGGUUAAGUCCCGCAACGAGCGCAACCCUUAUGGUCAGUUACUACGCAAGAGGACUCUGGCCAGACUGCCGUUGACAAAACGGAGGAAGGUGGGGAUGACGUCAAAUCAUCAUGCCCUUUAUGACUUGGGCUACACACGUACUACAAUGGCGUUAAACAAAGAGAAGCAAGACCGCGAGGUGGAGCAAAACUCAGAAACAACGUCCCAGUUCGGACUGCAGGCUGCAACUCGCCUGCACGAAGUUCGGAAUUGCUAGUAAUCGUGGAUCAGCAUGCCACGGUGAAUACGUUUCCCGGGCCCU
rnacentral:rRNA from 1 species